CUACUUACUUGGCAGGGAAGAUACCAUAAUCAUGAAGGUGGCUCUCCUAGGGUAAGACUUAUACAUUGCCCACCAGAUGUGCUGACCCCUGCAAUUUCUGCACACUCUGCAAAAUUGCAUUCAUAAUUUGAGAUAGUGGAGAGCUGUUUUCAUGCUCUCCC